AGUGAACGCUGGCGGCAGGCCUAAUACAUGCAAGUCGAACGGCAGCACGGCAGAGCUUGCUCUGUGGGUGGCGAGUGGCGGACGGGUGAGGAAUACAUGGGAAUCUGCCCAGUCGUGGGGGAUAACGUAGGGAAACUUACGCUAAUACCGCAUGCGCCCUUCGGGGGAAAGCCGGGGACCUUCGGGCCUGGCGCGAUUGGAUGAGCCCAUGUCGGAUUAGCUAGUUGGCGGGGUAAUGGCCCACCAAGGCGACGAUCCGUAGCUGGUCUGAGAGGGUGGACGGCCACACUGGGACUGAGACACGGCCCAGACUCCUACGGGAGGCAGCAGUGGGGAAUAUUGCGCAAUAGGGGAAACCCUGACGCAGCGACGCCGCGUGAGCGAAGAAGGCCUUAGGGUUGUAAAGCUCUGUUGUAAGGGAAGAAGAACUUAAGCGAGAAUAUUGUUUAAGAGUGACGGUACCUUACUAGAAAGCCCCGGCUAACUACGUGCCAGCAGCCGCGGUAACUCG
rnacentral:rRNA from 1 species